GGACAGCUGUGGCCCUGACUCUGGGGGCGAGAGCAGGGUAUUGAAUACUACACAGCAACAGCCACAGGAAUAAACCCAAACACCCCAGAUUUUUCUCAGGGGGACAUCUGUUCAAUUUUGGCAUGAUUAACCUUUAAAUCUCUGGUUCUUUCUGACUCUGAUGUUUGGCAGAGGUGCUGAUUCCAGAUAAUCAAAACUAGGACAAGCAAGGUGAAGAAAUGCGUCUUCUAAGCAACUCCUGAGUGGUACUCACCAAGGAAAUCCAGGUGAAAACAUAAACAGGAAAAAAGGGCCCUCACUAAGAACCUGACCAUGCUGGCACUAUGAUUACAGACUUCCACCCUCCAGAACUGUGAGAAACACGUUUGUUAAGCCACAAAAUAUUUAUUGUGGCAAUUCUUUGAGAAUUUUGCUCUGUAGCCCAAGCUGGAGUGCAGUGGUGUGAUCUCGGCUCACUGACUGCAACCUCUGCCCGCCUGGUUCAAGCGAUUCUCCAGCCUCAGCCUCUUGAAUAGCUGGGAUUACAGGCGUACACCAGCAUACCUGGUCACCACAAUUUGGAAGAAAAAAAAAAUGAAUGCCAGAAGUGUCUGGUCAGCUUGGGGAAAACACACCAAACACUCUGAGAGUAUAAAAUGUAACUCACUCCCUACCAAUGCACCAGAGGCUGGCAAGUCUACCAGAGCUCACUACAGCGGGGCAAGCUGAGUAAAGAAGUCUGAAAAAUGAUGACAAUCAUCUAAACCAAUUGAUCUUUAAAACUGUUUAGAGAUCUAGUAUAAAGGAUGCUAUUUCUCCACAUCCUCUCUAGCACCUGUUGUUUCCUGACUUUUUAAUGAUUGCCAUUCUAACUGGUGUGAGAUGGUAUCUCAUUGUGGUUUUGAUUUGCAUUUCUCUGAUGGCCAGUGAUGGCUGGAGUGCAACGACAUGAUCUAGACUCACUGCAAUCUCCACCUCCCUGGUUCAAGCCAUUCUCCUGCCUCAACCUCCUGAGUAGCUGAGAUUACAGGCACAUGCCACUAUGCCUGGCUAAUUUUUAUAUUAUUGCAGAGACGGGGUUUCACCAUGUUGACCACGCUGGUCUUGAACUCCUAACCUCAAGUGAUCUGUCUGCCUUGGCCUCCCAAAGUGCUGGGAUUAGAGGCAUGAGCCACCAUGCCUGGUCAAUACAAUAGAUUUUUUAAAUCUCUUUUUUGCUCAAUAUUAUGUUUGUGAGAUUUAGCAUAUUGUUGUGUGUAGUUUUAGUUUGUCCACUCUUACUACUGUAUGUAUUCCAUUGUGUGAACAUAUCAUCGUUUUUUUUCCAUUUUACAGUUGAGUUCUUUGAUCAACUUUCAGUUUGGAAAUGCUAUGAACAUAUUUUACAUGUCUUUUUGUGAACACAUAAAUACCCCUCUGUUGAGUAUUCAUCUAGAAGUUUAAUUGCUGGUUCAUAGAGCAAACACACGAUUUAUUACCAUACAUACAGAUAGAUUCUCCAAACAAUUUUUCAAGGUGGUUAACUAAUUUAUGCCAGCAAUCAAUGACAUUUAGGAUUGUUCUAGAUCCUUGGAAACUCAGUGUUUUUUAGUCAUAUGUUAAUCGGCCAUUUGGAUAUGCUCUUGUGAGGUACUCACUGAAGUCUUUAGCCUUUUUUUUUGUUUUGUUUGCUUGUUUUGGUUUUUGAGACAGAGUUUCACUCUUGUUGCCCAGGCUAGAGUGCAAUGGUGUGAUCUUGGCUCACUGCAACCUCCGCCUCCUGGGUUCAAGCAAUUUUCCAGCCUCAGCCUUCUGAGUAGCUAGGACUACAGGGGUGAGCUACUAUGCCCAGCUAAUUUUCGUAUUUUUUGUAGAUACAGGAUUUCGCCAUGACCUCCUGACCUCGAACUCCUGACCUCGGUGAUCCUCAGGCCUUGGCCUCCCAAAGUGCUGGGAUUGCAGGUGUGGGCCACCGCACCCAGUCUAGCCAUUUUUCUUAUACAGUGAGUUUUUAACAAAAUUAUAUGGGAGAGUGCACAGGCAAGGUAAUCUAUCCAUGAUUGUCCAUAGCCUGACUUCACUCUUCCUCUUCAUGCUAAAUCAGAAAUACAAAAAUACUCAUAUUGAAGCUGUGAAGAAUAAAAAAUUCCUCUCACUAACAUGAGAGGAAGAGUGUUCCAAAAUUGUCUAGGAGCAAACAGAAGGUCUUAAUAGAACAAAUGAAAAAUAAUUAAAGGAAAAAGGAAUGGCAUAAAGCCUACAUAAAAAACACUAAAAUAAAAAUGAUUAAAGAAGGAAACAUAGUCCUAAAAAAUCCAAUAGUUGAAAUCCAUCAUAUAGGAAAAUAAUACGAAAGAAAUAAAAGUUAAUUCUACACUGUACUAGUGUACUAGGGCUGCUGAAACAAAUUACCACAAACUGGGUAACACAACAACAUAAAUUUAUUCUCUCACAGUUCUGGAGAACAGCUUCUGGUGAUUGCUGGCAAUUCUUAGCAAUCCUCUCCAUCUGUGGACCACUGGGACAGGCAUAGGAUAAACAUUUUCAUUUCCAUAGGGAGAAAUUGGAAGUUAUAAAAGGGUUACUGGUUUGAAGCAAGUGCAAAAAUUGGCAGGAUAAACUGCAUUCAGCUCAAGGUCUGAAAAUACUCCUCUGAGGCUUGAUCCUCUGUUUUCUGGGCCCAUGGUAGUCAUCCUGCUGUCUCUGGCCUUUAUAUUUGUAUCUGUGGUUCUGCCCUCAGAGUAAUUCUUCCUUUCUCUUAAAGAUGAACAAAUAUUUGUGACUGAAUAGCUCUAUCAGCCCAUUUCUUGCUAGAAUCCCAGAAAUCUGGUGGCCUUCCUUCAUUUUGUCUUAUCUCUGCCCCUUUCAGUCCAGGCUGGUAGUGUGAUAAGGUUUGGCUGCACCCCCACCCAAAGCUCAUCUUGAAUUGUAAUUCCCAUAAUCCCCACAAGUCAUGGGAGGGAUUCUACGGGAGGUAAUUGAAUAACUGGGACAGUUAUCUUCAUGCUGUUCUCCUCAUAGUGAAUAAGUACUCAAGAGAUCUGAUGGUUUUAUAAGGGGCUUCUCCUUCACUCUGUACUCACUUAUCUCACCUGCCACCAUGGAAGACGUGCCUGUUUCAUCUUCUGCCAUGAUGGUAAGUUUCCUGAGGCCUCCCUAGACAUGGGGAACUGUGUCAAUUAAACCUCUUUUCUUUACAAAUUACCCGAUCUUGAGUAUGUCUUUAAAGCAGCAUGAAAACAGACUAAAACAGUAAAUUGGUACCACAGAGAAUGGAUGCUGCUGUGAAGAUACCCAAAAAUUCAGAAGUGACUUUGGAACUGCGUAAUGGGCAGAGACUGGAACCGUUUGGUGGGCUUGGAAGAAGACAGGAAAAUGUGGGAAAGUUUGGAACUUCCCAGUGACUUGUUGAAUGGCUUUGACCAAAAUGCUGAUAGUAAUAUCAACAGCAAAAUCUAGGCCAAGGUGGUCUCAAAUGGCAAUGAGGAACUUGUUGGGAACUGGAGUAAAGAUCGCUCUUGCUGUGCAAAGAGACUAGUGGCAUUCUGCUCCUGCCCUAGAGAUCUGUGGAACUUUGAACUUGAGAGAGAUGAUUUAGAGUAUCUGGCAGAAGAAAUUUCUAAGCACCAAAGCAUUCAACAGAAGGCAGAGCAUAAAAGUUUGGAAAAUUUGCAGCCUGAUGAUACAAUAGAAAAGGAAAACCCAUUUUCUGGGGGAGAAAUUUAAGCCUGCUGCAGUAAGUUGCAUAAGUAAUGAGGAGCUGAAUGUUAAUCACCAAGACAAUGGGGAAAAUGUCUCCAUGACAUGCCAAAGGCCUUCAUGACAGCCCCUUCCAUCACAGGCCCAGAGGCCUAGGAGGAAAAAAUGGUUUUGUGGGCUGGACCCAGGGCCUCCCUGCCCUGUGCAGCCUCAAUACAUGGUGCCCCACAUCCCAGCUACUUCAGCUCCAGCUGUGGCUAAAAGGGGCCAAGAUACAGCUCAGGUCAUUGCUUCAAAGGGUGUAAGCCCCAAGCCUUGGCAGCUUCCACCUGGUGUUUGUCCUGCAGGUGCACAAAAGACAAGGAUUGAGCUUUGAGAACCUCUGCCUAGAUUUCAGAGGAUGGACAGAAAUGCCAGGAUAUCCAGGCAGAGGUGUGCACAUGGAGAACCUCUUCUAGGGCAGUGCAGAAGGGAAAUGUGGGGUUGGAGCUCCCACAGUAAGUCCUCAUAGAGACACUGCUCAGUAGAGCUGUGAGAAGAGGGCCACCGUCUUCCAGAUCCCAGAAUGGGAGAUCCACUGACAGCUUACAUUCUGCAUCUGGAAAAGCCACAGGCACUCAAUGCCAGCUUGUGAAAACAGCCAGGAUGCAGGACUGUACCCUGGAAAGCCACAGGUGAAACUGACCAGGGCUGUGGAAGCCCACCUCUUGACAUCAGCGUGACCUGGAUAUGAGAUGUGGAGUCAAAGGAGAUUAUUUUGGAACAUUAAGGUUUAAUAACGGCCCUAUUGAUUUCAGAUUUGUAUGGGGCGUAUAACCCCUUUGUUUUGGCCAAUUUAUCUUAUUUGGAACAGGUGUAUUUAUCCAAUGCCUGAACCAUCAUUGUAUCUAGGAAGUAACUAAUUUGCUCUUAAUUUUACUGGCUCAUAGGCGGAAGGGACUUGCCUUGUCUCAGAUAAGACUUUGGACUAGGACUUUUGAGUUAAUGCUGGAAUGAGUUAAGACUUUGGGGGGCUGUUGGGAAGGCAUGAUUGUGUUUUGAAAUGUGAGGACAUGAGAUUUGGUCAGGUACGGAAUGAUAUGGUUAGGCUUUGUAUCCCCACCCAAAUCUCAUCUUGAAUUGUAGUUCCCAUAAUACCCAUGUGUCAUGGGAGGGACCCUAUGGGAGGUAAUUAAAUCAUGGGGGCGGUUACCCUCAUGCUGUUCUCAUGAUAGUGAGUCAGUUCUAAUGAGAUCUGAUGGUUUUAUAAGGAGCGUCCCCUUUGCUUGGCACUCACUUCUCUCACCUGCCUCUCACCUGUAAGAUGUGCCUGUUUUGCUUUCCACUAUGAUUGUAAGUUUCUUGAGGCCUCCUUUGCCAUGCAGAAUUGUGAGUCAAUUAAACCUUUUUUCUUUAUAAAUUA